UGGGGAAUAUUGCACAAUGGGCGAAAGCCUGAUGCAGCAACGCCGCGUGAGUGAUGAAGGUCUUCGGAUUGUAAAGCUCUGUCUUUUGGGACGAUAAUGACGGUACCAAAGGAGGAAGCCACGGCUAACUACGUGCCAGCAGCCGCGGUAAUACGUAGGUGGCGAGCGUUGUCCGGAUUUACUGGGCGUAAAGGGUGCGUAGGCGGAUGUUUAAGUGAGAUGUGAAAUACCCGGGCUUAACUUGGGUGCUGCAUUUCAAACUGGAUAUCUAGAGUGCAGGAGAGGAGAAUGGAAUUCCUAGUGUAGCGGUGAAAUGCGUAGAGAUUAGGAAGAACACCAGUGGCGAAGGCGAUUCUCUGGACUGUAACUGACGCUGAGGCACGAAAGCGUGGGUAGCAAACAGGAUUAGAUACCCUGGUAGUCCACGCCGUAAACGAUGAGUACUAGGUGUAGGAGGUAUCGACCCCUUCUGUGCCGCAGUAAACACAUUAAGUACUCCGCCUGGGGAAGUACGAUCGCAAGAUUAAAAC
rnacentral:rRNA from 1 species